rnacentral:rRNA from 1 species
CAGCCAAGUAGCGUGCAGGAUGACGGCCCUACGGGUUGUAAACUGCUUUUAUGCGGGGAUGAAAGUGAGGACGUGUCCCUUUUUGCAGGUACCGCAUGAAUAAGGACCGGCUAAUUCCGUGCCAGCAGCCGCGGUAAUACGGAAGGUCCGGGCGUUAUCCGGAUUUAUUGGGUUUAAAGGGAGCGUAGGCCGGGGAUUAAGUGUGUUGUGAAAUGUAGGCGCCCAACGUCUGACUUGCAGCGCAUACUGGUUCCCUUGAGUACGCGCAACGCCGGCGGAAUUCGUCGUGUAGCGGUGAAAUGCUUAGAUAUGACGAAGAACCCCGAUUGCGAAGGCAGCCGGCGGGAGCGCAACUGACGCUGAAGCUCGAAGGUGCGGGUAUCGAACAGGAUUAGAUACCCUGGUAGUCCGCACGGUAAACGAUGGAUGCCCGCUGUCGGCGCCUUGCGCCGGCGGCCAAGCGAAAGCGUUAAGCAUCCCACCUGGGGAGUACGCCGGCAACGGUGAAACUCAAAGGAAUUGACGGGGGCCCGCACAAGCGGAGGAACAUGUGGUUUAAUUCGAUGAUACGCGAGGAACCUUACCCGGGCUUGAAUCGCAGGAGAACGAAACAGAGAUGUUGAGGUCCUUCGGGACUCCUGCGAAGGUGCUGCAUGGUUGUCGUCAGCUCGUGCCGUGAGGUGUCGGCUUAAGUGCCAUAACGAGCGCACCC